rnacentral:lncRNA from 1 species
AAUAUAUUACUAUAUAUAAUAAAAACUUUAAAUUUUUUUUGUAAUAAUUUUAAAUAUACUGUUAAACUGUGUAUUAAUAAUAUAAAGAUAUUAAUUUUAGUAAAAAUAUUAUUAUUUAAACUCCAAAAUAUAAUAAUGACGUAAAAGAAGUGAAUUUAUUUCUUACACUUUGGUGUAAGUGGAAACUGUGAUAGAUGAGUUUAUGAUCAGGGAAAUGGCUAUCAGCUCAAGAGGAUUGAUAAACAUACAAUAAUGAUUCUUAUCUGAAAUAUAAAACAUAUAUUAUUUAUAUAUUUUCCUGCUGCAGAUAAUUAUACAUUACCAUACACUCCUCUCACAUCUCCCUUAUAAACGUCAUACAUCUAACUAGCGAAAGCAAGGUUUAAUUUACCCACUACCACCGUUGCCGCUGCCAUCGCCGCCGUUGUUGUUAAAGUCCUGCCUAGGAAUGUAAUGAUGGUUGUUGACACUGCUUCCAGGAUAAGUGUAGCCAACAUUCACAUCCUUGUUCUCUUCUACAUUCAUUUCUACACUUAAAGCUUUCCUAUUUGUAGCCAAGCAAGACCUCAUCAUCACAAACAUAAGGAGGACUAGGGCAAGCCUUAGCCUCACAACACCCAUCUGCUUAAUUCUUCCUGUGAACAAUAACCUGUUUGUAAGCUUUAGAGAUUUUUUUUUUUUUUUUUUUGUGGAAGAGAUUAGGGAGGAAGGAGAGGGAUUAACCUGUUUUAUAUAGAGAGGAAUGGCAUUGGCACACCUUAUGAGAUUUUUUUUUAAAAUAAUUUUAAUGAAAAUAUAUAUGGGAUGUCCACUAAAAUGGGACAAGAUUAAGUGGGAUGGCCAAGCUAUCACAUUCAAAAAUUGAUGAGAUUUAGGAAUUAUUUAAUUAAUUUAUUCCUAAAAAUAAGCACUAUAAAUAGGAAAACUCCACCCUUAGUGGUGGAUUUGGAUGCAACAAAUUUAAUUUCAAUUUGAUGUCAAAAGCUUAAUUAGUAGCAAGUAACUUUUGGGUAUUAGGAAGUUUCUUGAGAAACUUUGUAGGUAGCUACCACACUAUGAAGUGGAGACAUUUGGAAAGCCUUUGCUUGGAUUUAGAAGAUAUUUUUACUUGUUAAUCAUUGCUUUGCUUUUUAGGAGUUAAUCAAUCAUUUGUAGGAAGACACUUGGCUCAAUCUACACUUUAUUUAGCUCAAUCUUUAUGGAUGUGUGGAUUUUGAUUAUGAGAACAAUGUCCUCUUAACCCAAAAUCCAUGUUGACUUAAUUAUAUUUCUUCAUUAUUAAAUCCAUAAAUGAAUUAUUAUUAUUAUUUGCAACACAUUAAAAGAAAUAAAAUAAUUAUUGAUUAUCGCUGGGUUUCUUCGUCCCGGUCUAAGAUCAGGCCCAUUGGGGAACCCAUAAUCUGAAGGAUUCUAAGCCUCCUUCAAGAAUCAGGUUCAACCCACUCAGCUCAAAGACCGGACUCCAGUCAGUUUCUUCAAUCAGGCCGGUCCAGCCUUUAUGACCCGAGGAUUAGAUCCUCUCUAGGCCCAACUCCGACCCCACCUUUCAGCCUAACUCAAAGAAAGAAAGGCGACCAGCCCACUCGCCUGGUGGGCCCAUCCGCACCCGCGUCUGGGAUAAUCAGGGGUCGUUAUGCAUGGAACAGCAAUCUGAUUUCUUCGUACGUCCAUAUCAAAGUAACAGAGACAGGUGACCCAAUGACACACAUUCUGUUACACAUCACUAGCGGACAAAAAGAAACAUAUAAAAAUAGAAAUACUCUCCUCUAAUUCUAAGUUUUUUCCAGUUUUAUAAAACCUUGUAAAACUCUAUUUUCUCAAAUCAUCAAUUAUGAUUUAAGUAAGCUCAUUAUUUUAAUUUAUAGCUUUUCAAAUUUUUGAAUAUAACUGUGUUUCUUAUUUCAUUCUUACGACUUAAAAACUCAAUUAUUUCAUCAUUUAAUUUUAAAAUUAUAAUUAUUCACAUCAUGUAAUUUUAAAUAAUUUGGAAAGACAAUGAUUAGUUAAUGUAUUUCUUAUUUUUUAUUUUUUAUAAGAAUUUAGAAAAAUGAGUUCACAAAGAAAAUUAUUUUCAAUUUAAAAAGCUAGAAAAUAUAUUCAAAUUAUCAUUGUUUUUAGAAAUAUGUUCUUUUUAUAAUAUUCUCCAUCUUAAUUUUAUAUUAAUUUAAAAUAAAAAAAUUAAUAUAUUUUAUAUUAAUUUAAAAUAAAAGAAAAUUUAUAUAUCGUUAAAUAUAUAAAAAUAUAAUUAUUAAAAACCUUAUUUUAUUUAUGUAUGGAGUUAUGUAUUUUUCACUUUUUAAAUAUAAUAUAAAAAAUAAUUAUUUCAGUAUUUUAUAUUUCUUUUAUAAAAUUUAGAGAAAAAAAUUACUUUUAUUUUUUAAUUAGAGUAAAAGAGUGAAAAUGAAGAAUUUUUAUUUUUUAAAAAAAAUAAAAAAUAUAUUUUAAAAAAAUAUAAAUAUUUCCUGUAAUUAAACAUGUUGUAUAAUAUUUUUGGGACAGCUACAAAUAAAAUUGUUUAAAAAAUUGAACAAAGGGAGCAUGUCAAAAUAAACAUUAGUCUUUAUAAUUAUUUUUUAAAAUAUUAAAAUUUUCUUGUAUAUUUUGAAACGCGGAUCAUGAUUUGAGAUUCAAAAAAAAAUAGAGUUUUAAUAUAUAUCUGUGAAUGAAUUUAGUCUGAAUUGUUAACGAUUUCUUCUUUUAUUCUCUUUUUUAUUUAUUUUCUAGUCACGUAUAACCACCAUUCUACUAUAAUGUUAUUUGUCGUUAUUAUAUAGAGUUAUACGUAUGGACGUACUUUCUCUCUUUCCAUCAUUAGACAACUAUUUAAUUUUUUUCGGCACUUGUACUCAUAGGAUCAUAGAUGUAGAUAGUCCGGAUCAUAGAUGUAGAUGAAUUCAUUCUUCACUGAUCCAUUAAGUCAGGUGAAUUGGAUUCUUUUUGUUGAGUUCAAGUCUCACUCUGCUCGGCAUAUUCGAGUGUGAUAUGAAUCAUGAGUGUGGUAUGAAUCGUGUGCUAUUGGACAGGCUUAUAUAGUAGAUUCUGAUGAAUUUUUAUCCAGGACAGUUUGACUGCGGUUCGGAGAAUCAUCAAUGGGAAAAUAAAAUGUAUUUUAUUCUGAGGCCCAAAACUCCAAUUGUAAUGUAAUAAUUAUAAUAACAACAACCAUAAACUCCAGUCUUUUCUUGCAUAUUUCAAGUUUUAGAGCCUUAAUAUUUCAAAAUUGCCAGCUUAACUCCAAUUAUUAAAAAAAAUUACUGUUUUUUCUUCUAUAUAAUUUAGUGAAAUUUCAUUUAUUUUUAAUUAUUAAACUCGAUUAAGGACAACCAUUCAUCCUAACCCAAUUUCUUCUUGUUUUCUCGUGAAUCAAACAUUUCAAAAUCUUCACCUAAGGCCAUUAUUAAUUGUUUUUGGAAUCAUCCAACUACAUCAAUUCAAAAGAACAAUUAGUAUGAAUUUUCCCCAUCCAUAUUUGCCACUCCAUGAAAAUGACAAGCACCCAAAUAAAUUAAAUAUGACUGAGAUUUGGGAACAAAUUAUCUAUUUAUGGAAUUGAAAAAUAUUCCUACUUAAUCACAAGUUUUCAUUCAAAAUGCAAUAUUGAAGUCUAAGAGAAGACUUUAAAUUUAUUUAGAUAUGAUAUUCAUGAAUUCAAUCAAACCGCAUGAUGAAUUAUAUUUUGAAAUUGAUCGAUUCGAUUUAAUAUUUUAAAUAAAUUAGAUCGAUUCGAUUCGCUUAUUUUAAUUUUACUUGGGUUCGAUAACCAAGAGAUUCGGUGCUCAGCCAUACUGUUUGCAUGGGAGACGUAAUUUCCUACUUCGACUUCAUCAACCCAAAGCCAUUAAAUAGUUUUCAUGCCACUUUUAAGGAAAUGUUCGACUUCCAAUAAUCAAAGGUGUUUGACUAAAUGGCUUUGCUCAACUGAGAAUUAAUUGCUUGAUAUCAUUAUGUAAGAACAGAGAAAAUGUACUUUGUUUUCAUCAAAAAUCUGUUUUCCUCCAUUGAUAUUGAAGAUUGAUCAUGCUGUAUAAAAGAAGGCAAGCCUCCUCAAUCAAAGUGCAUGAACUUGUGCUAAAAGAUGAGCAUCAAACUCUUGUGUUUAAUCACUUUCUUCAUUUCUCUCUUCUUGAAUACCCUCCCAAUUUCUUCUCAAGAAAUUGGCAAGUCUAAUGAAAGAAGUUUCUCUUUCUCAGCUACAAAAUUAAUAGUCAAUCUUGUAGUUUAUACUAAUGUUUAGAUUUCUGUGUUUGUGCAGAUGAUGAAGAAGAGUUUGAUUAUCAUAAUGGCCACAAGGGGCCAGUUUACUGGGGACACCUUCGUCAAGAAUGGAGUGUAUGUAGCAAUGGAUCCAUGCAGUCUCCAAUUGAUCUGUUGGAUGAGAGCGUUCAAGUUGUUUCUAAUUUGGGGAGGCUUAAAAGAAGCUACAAGCCCUCCAAUGCUACUCUUAAGAAUAGAUUUCAUGAUAUGACGGUAAGGAACUGAGAGAUUAGAAAAUUGAAGUUAAACAGGUGUUUGAUGAAAUGCUUGUGUGAGAUCUAAUUACACAUCAACGGAUUAUCCUUGAAUUUUCUCUUCUCCCAUUAAAAUCUUAUCUUAUUUUGAUGCAGAUACAAUGGGAAAGUGGUGCAGGAUAUAUUCAAAUAAAUGGGAUUAGAUAUUAUCUCAAACAGUGUCACUGGCACUCCCCUUCUGAGCAUGCCAUCAAUGGCAGGAAAUAUGCUCUAGAGUCGCAUAUGUUACAUGAAAGCCUAGAUGGAAAGGUUGCUGUGGUUGGGAUUGUAUACAAAAUAGGAAGGCCAGACUCUUUCUUGUCAUCAGUAAGUACCAUAAUAUACUUAUAAACCACCAUCACCGCCGGCUGCCGCCGCCAUCUCUAUCUUUCUCUAAAAUAUAUGCUUUUUAUUCUCUUCAUCUCAGCUGACAGGCCAUUUAAGAUCAGUGGCCGGCACCGUACAAAAAGAGACUAAGGUGGGUAUAGUUAAUCCAAGGAACAUCAAAAUAGGCAGCAGAAGGUAUUACAGAUACAUGGGAUCUCUUACAACACCUCCUUGCACUGAAAAUGUUCUUUGGACCAUUGUUAGAAAGGUUUGCCCUAAUUACUCAAGAACAUCAUCAAAUUAAUUCUUUGUUCUUUAUAUAUAUAUUAAAGCUUUUAUUUAUUAAUUUCAGGUGAGGACUGUUACUAUAGAACAAGUGAGAUCACUUAGAGUAGCUGUUCAUGAUGUGAGUUCUAUUAAUGUUCGAUUCAAAAUGUUAAAUUCUUGAUAUUAUAAGUAAAUAAAUUGAGCAAUUUGUUUUCUUUUUCUUGAAAUUCUUGGCUUAAUUACAUUUUGAACAAGUUUAGAUGUUAAUGUAUAAAUAUCUUUUGCAGGAAUCUAAUACAAAUGCCAGGCCAAUUCAACGAAUAAAUGGACGAAUAGUGCAACUUUACAGACCAGAAGAAAGGCUGAUAAUGGAUUAGAAAUCUAUGAUUUACUCUUUGGAAAACUUACUUUUUAAUCCUUAUACUAUAAGAAAACUUAUUACUUGGUAUUAAAAAAUAUAUUAAAAACAUUCAUGAGAAAUUGAAAAUAUACUUUUAUUCAAAAAUAAUCUGCUCAGAGGAGAAUAAUCUUUCAGGUAAUAAUUGAUUUAUUUUUGUUUCUGCAAUACAAUCCUGGAUCACUGACCCAAGGCCCAGGGGCAGAAUUAAAAACAUUUAAACUGGGGGCCGAAAGAGUGAGAAGAUUAGAAGUAAAUAUAAUAAUAAAAAAUUUAAAAAUUUCAAUUCUCAUAUUAAUAUUUUUAAAAUUUAAAAAGGCUAAAAAUACAAUUCCAACAAAAAUAAUGGAUAAUAUAAAGAUAUGUGUACAAGUUCCUAAAAGCUGGAGAAGCUAAAAGUAUAUUUUUAAUAAAAUUCUUAAAAGAUAUAUGGGUAUUGAUUAUAACCAGAUUCUGGAUACUCUGGCUCAAGUUGGACCCGUGCUAGAAAGGAAAUCUAAUCAUGCUCAUUUAAUCCACUGAGAUCCACAUAGCCAACUAUAAUGAAAAUUAUAUUGGAAACAUCUUAAACGACCUGAGUUCAACUCAGGAAGAACCACGGUUCUCAUUUUCUAGCCUAACUACUCCAUUAAACAACACUCUAUAUUGUUCAGCCCUUCACCAAGCUCGACUAGAACCAUGCCUCAAACUAACUUAUCUAACCAAGAGCUGCAAAAUAUAGCUCUCCAGCUACAAAAUACAAUCUAAUGGCUAGGCCAGAUGUUGCAACAAAGAGGGUUCAGCACUCAUUGAGUGUACCAUCCGUCGUUGAGGGGUUCAACAUCAAUGAACUCCAACCCAAAUUAAACUACUAAACUCCUCAAUAGAACAGUAGGAGAACAGAUGACGGGGAUGGAGAGGCCAAUCAAAGAAAUAAGCCGAUAGCCAAAACAAGAGACAGGGUAGUGAGAGAGCAUAUCGAGAAUGAUAAGGCUGACAGCUAUUUCUCUGAGCUAGUGAAAAGAUCGAAGAGUGAAGAGUUAGAAAGAAACUACCACUUAGAGAAGAGGCCUAAGAGGGAGGAUGUAGACAUGGAUCAGAAAUUAGAGAGGCUGAAAGAACAACUACUAAUGAAGUUGAGAGCACGAGAUAACAGUCCCAUGUUACCAACCUCAUCACCGUUUGUGAGACAGGUUCAGCAAGAGAUUAUUCCCAAGAAGUUCAUGAUGUCAACAAUGGGGGCUUACGAUGGGACGGGAAACCGCAAUGAGCACAUCCUGAACUACAAGAUAUUCAUGGAACUGCAAACUCAGCCGGAUGCCUUGAUGUUCAAGUUUUUCCUAUCACCUUAAUAGGAUCGGCCCGGGUGUGAUUUAACAGCUUGGAGGCAGAAAGUAUUAAGAGCUUCAUCAACCUGGCCAGCACAUUCAUCAGCAAAUUCAUCGCCAGGGUCCCUGCGGAGAGAAAGAUAAGCUACUUAGAGACCUUUCAACAAAGGAGGAAUGAAUCCUUAAGAGAGUACGUGGCCAGGUUUCACUCUGAGACUUUGAAGAUACCCGAACUUGAUGAAGGAAAAGUUGCAGAAGUUAUGUAGAAGGGCACUACCUCCCUGGAGUUCUUCGGGUUUGUUGUUCCUUGAAGCAACUCAAGAGGGGGUGAAUUGGGUUUGUAAACAAAAUUUAAAGGUAAAGAGACACAAAUUAAAAGGCAAUAAGAAAGUUAGAGAAAAAUCAACACAAUGGUUUAUAGAGGUUCAGCUAUCUUAAGCCCACGUCCUCUCCUCAAAACCCUCCUUGAGAGUUCAACUCCACUAUCAAAUCUAAAGAUUAAAACCCCUUACAAUUCUAGAGCAAAACCCUUGCUCUUUACAAAUCUCUUUUUCUCACAAGAGCAGUCCUUUGCUCAAAAACACACCUACUACAAUAAAUUCACUCAACAACCUUUACUCAAUCUUAAAACUCAAACCAAUUACAACUCAAGACAUGCUUUCAAGAAAUUAAUGAUACGGCUCAAGGUUUUGAGAGAGAGAGAGAAAAAAGCUUUAAUCUCAAUAAUUGUAUACUUAGAUCGUUGUUGUAAACUUUUCAUAUCAAAAACACAUUAUAUUUAUAGUUCUGUCAUAAAUAUGACCGUUGGGAAUACAUUAAAUACAAAUAGAGCCGUUUGCAUACAGAAAUAACCGUUAUAUCAUGACUAGAAAAACUCAGGUUCAGCGGCCUAAGGUUAAAGUUCAGCGGCCAAACCAUUUGAGGUGAAGAACAUCUUUCUUGAAAAUAGACUUUCGGCGGCCUAAAGUCCAUGUUUGGCGGCCGAACAUUUUGGACUUUUGCCUUUGUCCCUUCUCCUUCGAAAGCCGAAAGUGUCACUUUAUGGGGCAUAUUGAAAAUAAACUUUCGGCGACCUAAAGUCCAUGUUCGGCGACCGAACAUCUUGGACUUUUGCUUUUGUCCCUUUUCUUUCGGAAGCCGAAAAUUUCACGUUAGGGGACAUGUUGAGAACAAACUUUCGGCGGCCUAAUAUCCAUGUUCGAUGGCCGAACAUAUGGGACUUUUGUUUUUGUCCUUCAAUUUCGGAAGCCGAAGUUUUGACUUUAGGGGCAUGUUGAAGACAGACUUUCGACGGCUUAAAGUUUAUGUUCGGCAGCCGAACAUAUAGAACUUUUGUCUCUGUCUUUCACUUUUGGAAGCCGAACAUUUGACUUUAGGGGCGCAAAAAUAUUUCUUUAAACUUUGAAAAAUUAUAACUUAGACUAUGAAACUCCAUUUUUUCAAUCUGUUUGAGUUUUUGCAACCUAUAUUUUUAGAUCUUUUAUUUUGAUAAAAGAUAAUUUCAAAAUCACUCCUUUUAAAAAAUUUCAUUUUGGUCCCUCAAAAAUAAUUAUUUAAAACUUUGCCAUAUUUAUAAACUUUUAGGAUUAAAAUAAAACUUGAGCCAUCACAAUUAAUUAAUUGAAAUUAACAAUACAUAAAUUUACAAUACAUAAAGAAAAAAGUUACAAUCUAAUCCCUUUCUUGUGACAUGCUUCCAAAUUUGAUAUUUUUAAUUUUUGAAACUAAAGUGAUCUCAUUUAUUUUAAUAAGGAACCUACAAGCUCAAUACAAACACUUUUGAAGAUAAUUAGUAGCACACCAAUUAUUUAUUAGUUAUCAAUACAAGAAUUAGAACACUUAGGUCCAACAGAGUUAUUAUGCACAAAACUACAUACUAUUGUAGUAGAGCCGAUAAAAAAAGUAGAGAAGUAUAUUUGUUAUUUUUAAAAUAAUAAAAAUAAAUCAAAAUCAUUAAGCAAAGAAGAAAAUGUUAUUAAUAUUGAAGAAAAUAUCAAUAACACUUGCAUAAUAAUUCACAUGAAUUUACAGGUAUGUCCUAGAGAUGCACUUGGUUCAUGAGAGCCAGGAUGGGAAAAUUGCAGUAGUUGGAAUUUUAUACAAAUUAGGAAGACCUGAUUCUUGCUUGUCAUAUGUGAGUGUUAUGUACAACCGGUUGACAGCUGUUAGCAUAAAACAAGUGAUAUUGGUUCAUGUAGCAGCUCAUUACGUGAGUUCAAUAAUAUGCUUCUUGAUCAUAUUAAACUUUAAGCCCCACAUGAAGAUCAGGGGAUAAACACAAGAAGUUGCAGAGCUUCUAACUUUGAAGAAGAAAGCAGAGAGCUUCUAGCAUUGGAGGAUUUUAACUUGUCAAUUUUUCUCUUCCAUGAGGCCUCUGCUACCACCCACAUAGUGCCAAAGAAAAAGAAAACACAAUAUUAAACUAAUUAUGAUUAUAAAUGUGUUGAAUUACUCCUGAUCAAGUUUGACUCAAGCCAGAAAUUCUGACAAGCUAAUUUUAAAUUUUUCAAAAUUCAGCUCGGCUCCAUUUUUUUACUUUUCAACUAGUAGGACAUAUUUGGAUUCAGAACAGUAACAAAGUGAUAACAUGAAUUACAGAAUGACACAAUGCAUUAAAAUUUUAUUAUUUAAAAAGGAACUACUGCAAUGGAACCAAAGUGACAUCUUGAAUUACACUCCUUGCUGUACACAUACUAUCAGUUUAAAUAUAGAAAUGAGGAAAUGCAGAAUGCUAUUACAGCACUUAGUACCAAAAUCACACUAAAACUGAAAGCAACAAGAUUUGCAGAAGAAAAAAAAAAACUGCUAACAGAUUGGCAGAGGUGUGCCAUCCCAAUCCUUUAGACAUUCAAGAAGAGGAUCAAUGAUCUUUCCUUCACAAAUUGCUGUAAACAACUUUUCAAAUUCCUCACCAGGAGACCUCAGCUUCUCUCCUGUCAGAAGUUCAGUCCCCAAAGCUUCUCUCACGAACUUGUACAGUGGAUAAGACCUGCACUCUUUGAUUCUGUUUGGGACUGCAGGAUUCCCACUCUCACAAGCAAUUCUUGCAGCUUCUACUUCUUCUGGCAAGACUGACUUCAGUUCGUCUUCGAAAGCACCUAUCUUGAGGAAGAUUGAAGCAUGCAUAUUGUUCAUAUAAUCAUUGUUUGUUAAUGCAUGAUCCACAAUGACUUGUCUCAGCUUCUGCAUUAAUGGGUAAGUUGAGUUACAUGGAUCAUCAAUGUAUGCAAAGACUUGCUCGCAAUCGACUACUCUAAGCAGAUCUUUCUCACGGAAUCUUGAAGGAUGACGCUCACCAUUAACUACCAUGUUUAGAAUCUUCUUAGCCACUUGGCUCACUGUGUUCUUAACUGUACUCUUCAAAUUCUCUUCUAAAUGCCUUAAAUCUAUAGCCUGGCAAAGUGCAACCAAGAAAGUUGAGGACAUGAGCUUUAAGAUAUCAACUGCUUCUGCUGUUUUUCUCGAAGAAAUCAACCCUAAUGAGUUCACAUCUUGAUUGUGCUGCUCAGCACUGUGAACAUGGUUUGUGACAGGAUUUGCAAGGUAUUGAAGCUCAGAGCAAUAGGCUGCCAUGGCAAUCUCAGCACCCUUGAAACCAUAAUCCAAGCUAGGAUUCCUUCCUCCUGUGAGAUUUGAAGGCAACCCAUUAUUGUAAAAAUCAUUAACAAGCUCAGAGAAUUGAGCAAACAUGAGUUUCCCAAUUGAAGCUAAUGCCAAUCUAGCGUUGUCCAUUGAGACACCAAUUGGGGUCCCCUGGAAGUUUCCUCCAUGCAAGGCUUUGUUCCUUGAGACAUCAAUCAGUGGAUUAUCAUUCACAGAAUUAAUCUCUCUUUCAAUGGACUUGGUUGAGAAUCGAAUCACUUCAAUUUGUGGGCCUAACCAUUGUGGUGAUGUACGAAGAGCAUACCGAUCCUGCUUAGGCUUCUGCAAAGGAUCCAUCUCAUGCAACUUCUUUGCUUCUUGAACAUAUGAACUUCCAUCCAAAAUGUGUUCCAUAAUAGCUGCAGCCUCAAUCUGCCCAGGAUGAUGCUUCAAUUUAUGCGUCAAAUGAUCUGUAAACUCAGGUUUCCCUUGCAUAACUUCAGCAAAAAUAGCUGAUAAAACUUCUGAUAAAAGAGCCAAUACAUUAGCAUCAAAAAGUACAAUAGAUGCCAAGCCAGCACCAACUCCAGUGCCAUUAACAAUAGCAAGACCCUCCUUAGGCUGCAACUCAAAGAACCCGCCGGCGAUACCAGCCAGGCGAAAGGCUUCUCCGGCAUCAAGGGUUUCUCCGUUAGGCCCUACUGCGGUGGAAUUGGGUCUGCCAGUUAGGAGUCCGGCUAUGUAUGAAAAGGGGACUAAGUCGCCAGAGGCAGUUAUUGAGCCGCGCAGAGGCAAGCAUGGAGUGAUGUUGUGAUUAAUGAGCUUUGUUAGGGCUUCUAGGAUCUCAAACCUGAUGCCGGAGUAACCCUGGAGGAGAGUAUUGAUUCUCACAAGCAUGGCUGCCCUUGUUGCUGUUCGCGGCAAUGUAUGGCCUGAUUCUGCUCCUUUGCCAAAGAUUCCGGCAUUCAAGAACCUGAAGCAGCAGACCAUACCCUGAAGAUAUUAGUUUACUGAAAUGUGUUAAUUAAAAUCUAUUAAUUAACCUUUUCAAUAAUUUUAAUUUAUUAAAAUAUUUUUAAUAGAUAUUUUUUAUAAAAUUAAAAAAUAAAUUUUUAUAUAUCAUAAAAAUUAAAUAAUAAAAAAUUUAAUAAUUAAAAUUAAUAAAAUAACUAAUUUUUUUAUAAUAUAAAAAUUAAAUAUUUUUUUAAAAUAAAAUAUAUACAAAAAUAUAUCUAAUUCCUAAUCCUAUUACCUCACCAAUGGGGUGGGGUGCUUCUCUAAAGCAUGGAACUUAUAUAUCACAUCACGUGGACCCAAAAUUUAAUGCUACGCACUCUUUUAGACAAGUCACAGACCAAUCACGACUAAACACCUACCUAAAACAGCACCUCACUUCCUUCAUACCACUAAAUAAAAAUUUUUUAAAAAAUAGGGAAAAUAUUUUUCUAUAAAUAUGUAAUUUUUUUGUUCUUUUCAGAAUAUAGAAUAAUCAGAUAAAUAAAAUAUUUUUUUUCUUAAUACUUUUAAUGUGAUAGAAAUAGAGGAAGAGAAAAUUUUGCCUAACUUUGGUUUAUAUGAAUUUAACACAUAAUAAUAUUUUUAAGAAAAAUGUAUUUUAUAUUUUAUAUUUUUUUAUAUUUAAAAUAUUUAAAAAAUUAUUUUAUUAUAUAACUCAUCAAUUAUAUUAUGAAUUUUCAAAUUAAAAGAACAUUGUAGACUAAAAAAUAAAGGGCCUACCUAAUAAGCUCCUGCUGCAGCGCGGCUCCUUGCUUGGUUCUUCUAUGGGAAGUAGCACCGAACCCUGUAGUGACCCCAUAACUAUCUGUCCCUUUAUUCAUACUCUCAAUUACCCAAUCACUGCUUGCCUUCACACCAUCCCUAGCUGACUCGCAUAACUCCACCGCCACUCCAUUGCCGCCUCCACUCGCCACCGCCGCCACCUGUCCGACAGUUAGCGUCUCCCCCCCAAGUCGAACGACCGCCCUCCUAUAUUCCCUAACCAUUUUCUUCACCUCCUCUACAUGGCUGCCAUUCAAUGCCUCCGCCGCUAAACCCCACUUCAAUGGAUCCUUCUCCACGCAGCACCCAUUGCUAUAUUUGUGAUCCCCAUUUUGCUUUCCGCCGGACACUUCCAUUGAGACGAAAACAAAGUGCAAGAAAAGGUGUCAGGUGGCUAAACCCUGUUUGGUUACUAAGAAAAUUUUUUAGGGAAAAUUUUUAUUAUUUUUCCUCUUCAGCACCAUGCUUUCAUGAGGUCUUUAAAUAGAGAGAAUGGUACGUAUUAAAAAGAGUGACAGGUGGGAUACUGGGUGUGUUAGUUGAAACGCAUUUUUGGCCGUUUGAUCUUCAUGCAAUCUAAGGGCUGUUGUUUUGACACGUUGGAUCAAUGGGAGGAGCAAGUAGGAAAUGCAUGAUUCUCAUCUUACCCGUCAAAUGGGAGGAGGUUGGUGGGUUGUAUGGUAUAAGUUAUUAUACAAAAUAGUCAGAGAAAAAUUAUUUAAUAUGCUCAUUAAUUAUUUAACAUUAAUUAUAAUAAAAUUUAUCAAAAUUAUCAUAAUUUUAAUUUAAAUUUAAUAAUUAAAAUUCUUAUAUGUACAUUUAUUUUUUAAUAAAAAAAUAAAAUAUUAAUUAUAAUGAUAUUUAUAUAAAAUCUACUAUAAUCAACUAUUAAAUUAUAAUUUCUAUAUAUACAAUUGCUGAAAAAAAUUUUCAUCAGCAAAUAAUAUAAUAUGGCAAGUCAAGAUAAGUCAACGCUUGUAUAGAUAUCAUUAUUAGAAAAAGUAUAUAGCAGCCCCAAAUUUUUUUAGAAAAUUAUAAUUUAAAUUUUAUAAUAUAAAAAAAUUUAUUAGUUAAUCUUUUAAUUUUAAAAAAUUCAUUAAAAUAUUAUUAAAAUUUUAAAAAAUUUAUUAAUUAAUUUUUUAUUAGUUUUAACUGUUACGUAUUAUAAAAAAAAUUUAAAAUUUUUUUGAUAUAGAAAGAUUAUUUAAUAAAUAUAUAUAUAUAUAUAAAUUAUAUAAAUUAAUAAUUAUUUAAUUAAAUAAUUCAAUUUUUUUUAAAAAAAUAUUAUUAAAAUAGUUAGAUAUUGACCAUUGAUUAUAACAAAAUUCAUAUGCAUGAGAUUUGAGUAGAUGAAUUUGAUUUUUGUGUGAUAGUGUUGGUGAUCCAACAACCUCAGCCAACAUUCAUUUGCUUGGUAGUUGGAGUCUACAUGUAAUGUUAGAACUUAUAAUAAUAAAACUAAUUAAUAGUUUGAGAUCACAUAGCAUAAUUUGUUGCAUUAAAAGGUUUAUUAAUUUGUAUUUUGUCAAAAUUAAAUGCUUUUUUUUUUUAAUUUAAUUAAAAUAAUUAUAUAUUUUAAGAUAAAUUAAACUUUAAUUUUUGAGUUUUAAUAUAAUUAAUAGAUUGAUCCCUAUAUUUUUAAAAUUAAAUACUUAAAUUUUUCUAUAAUUAAUCUGUCCAAAUUAGAGUUCACUCCAUCCAUUUUUAACGUGAAAAUGAAUAAAUUAGAUUUGAAUAAUUUGGUUUAGCAUAAUUAAUGAAUCGAUAUAUAUAUUUUUAAAAGCCUAUAUUUAAAUCUGUCGAUAAUCAGUACGUUCUUAUUUAUUAUAAUUUAAUAUUUUAAUUCUUUAAUUUUUAUUUGAAAAAACACUUAAAUCUCAUUAAUUUUUUGUUUACAAUAUAUCAUUUAAUUAAUUUUUAACACUUUUUAUUCUUCAAUUUUCGUUCAUUAAAAUAUUUCAAUACGUAUAAUUUUAAAACUUUUUAAAAAUAUUUAUAAUUUCAGUUAUUUUUAAGUGGUAUCAAAUAAUUUUUAAGUAUAUUAUAAAUUUUUAUAAAAAAUAUUUUAAUAAAAAAUUAUACUCUCACAAGAAAUUUAACCAAUCACUAGUUUUAAACUAAUAUCUAUAAUGAAUGAAAAAAAAAAUAUAAUUUUAAACAGAUUAAAUAUAAAAAGUUUUAAUAAUUUAAUUUUAAAAAUAUAAAGACUAAUUCGUCAAUUAUAUUAAAAUUUAAAGAUUAAAGUGUAGUUUACAUAAUAUAAAAUUUUUUAUAUAUAUUAAAAAUAAUUUAAGUGUAUUUUUAGAUAUUUAAAAUAUUUAUUCUCUCUUUUACCAGUUGACUAAUAAAAUUAUCAAACAAAGAAUUUCAAUUUGAACAUAUUAAUUAUAUACGGAUUGAAGUGUUGGAUUUUAAAAAUAUAGAAAUCAAUCAAUUAAUUAAAACUAAAUUAUAAUUUAUUAUCUUAUAUUUUAUAAAAUUAAACUCUUUAAUUUUUUAUAUUUUAUAAAAAAAAUAGAUACACUUAUUUUAUUCUUAAUUUAAUGGGCUAAAUAAAAUUAAAAUUAUAAAAAUUAAAUAAUAUAUAUUAUAUUGAUUAAUAUUUUUUUAAUAAAAAAUUAAAGAGUGAUUUUAUAAAAUAAAAAAAAGCAUUAAUUAAUUGAAUUUUGAAAAUAAAAAACAAAAAAAAAUUAAUUUUGAUAAAAUAUAUAAAAAGUUCAAAUAUUUCUAUAACCAGGAGUAUUUUUGAUAAAAAUAGAUAUAAGUGGGCAAAUUGUGAAGCAGAUAGACAAGGAAGGUGGUGGUUUGAUGUUCACAGACGUCAACGUCCAUGCAAAUUCAUAUACUGUGGGAUAUUUUUUAUUUGGAUUUUUGUGGAGAUUUUAAGGGAAGUCAAAUUAUCAAUGGUGAAAUUGUAAUUAAGCAAAUCCACUAUUUUAAUUUGGUUUGGUUGGUUUUUCAAAUUCUUCUCACCAACCCACUUCACAAAACGUGCACACCUUCUCCCUAACCUCCAAAUGUCCUCUUUUCUUUCUUUCUUUUUUCCUUAAUUUGAUAUUAAAAUAUCUAAUUGUUAAUCAUAACAGCUAGGGGGUGAGCAUUCGGUGGAACCUAACCAAACCAAAAUAAACGGAAAAUCGAAAUUUUAGUAUUUAUAAAAAUCGAAUUGAAUCGAUUUUGAUUAGAAACCGAAUCGAACCGAACCGGUCUGAUUCGGUUUGGUUUGAUCAAUUUUAAUUUUUAAUAAAUUUUUUAUUUUUUACCCUUUAUUUUUAAUAUUUUAAAAUUUAAUUAAAAUAUUUUAAUCUUAAUAUAAUUUAAUUUUUCUAUAUUAUUGAAAAUAACAUAUUAUUAUCACUAAUCGAUUCGGUUUGAUUUUUUUUAUUUUUUUAUUAAAAUCGAACCGUACCAAAAUAACUGAAAUUUUUAAAAUUAAAAAUCGAACCGAAUCAAAUUGAAUAAAAAACUGAAUUAAAUUUUAAAAUUAAUCGAUUCAAUUAAUUUUUUUGAUUUGAACUAAAUACUGCUCGGCGCCCUAAUAACAGCUCAUUAGUUGGUACAUAAAGGAUCAAAAAGGGUUCCUUUUCUAGUUUUAAAAUUGAAAUACUAAUCAACAUUUUUUUUAUUUAAAUUUUAAAAAAAUAUAAAAAAAAAUCACUUGUAUUUUUACUUUAAAAUUUUGUGAUUUAUUUCAUGUAAAAAUAAUAUUCGUGGUAUUAUAUAGUUAACAAAUAACGUUAAAUUUUAUACGCUUAAUAUAAAAAUUAUAUUAUAAAAUAUUAAUUUAAUAUAAAUUAAAUCAUAAAUCAUGAAAUAAAAAUGAAUGAAAUUAUAUGAUAGUUUUUAAAUUUUCACUUUUUAAUUAAUAAUAAUAUUUUAUUUAUUACAUCAUUAUUUUUUAAUAACAUUAAAAAAUUACGGUUAUUUAUUAAUAAUACGAUAUCAAAUAUUAUUUUGAAACAAAUUAAAUUACAGAUCUUAGAAUAAAUAUGAAUAAAAUUGAGAUUGUUUUAUAUUUCUUUAAAUUUAAACUAUUCUUAAAUUUGUACAAAUUAAAAUGAAUUAUGCUAGUCAAAUAAAAAUGAAAUUAUGAAUAUUUUUAAGUAGAAAACUUUAAAAUAUAAAUGCAACUAGAGAUGAGCAGUAUUCGGUUCAAACUGUAAAAACCGACUGAAUCGAAUUAAUUUUAAAAUUCGGUUCGGUUUUUUAUUCAAUUUGGUUCGAUUUGAUUUUUAAUUUUAAAAAUUUCAAUUAUUUCGAUUCGGUUUGGUUUUGAUAAAAAAAAUUGAAAAAACCAAACCAAACCGAUUAAUGAUAAUAAUAUGUUAUUUUCAAUAAUACAGAUAAAUUAAAUUAUCUUAAAAUUAAAAUAUUUUAAUUAAAUUUUAAAAUAUUAAAAAUAAAGUGUAAAAAAUAAAAAAUUUAUUAAAAAUCGAAACUGAUCAAAUCGAAUUGAAUCAAACCGAAUCAGACCGAUUCGGUUUUUAUAAAUACUAAAAUUUCAAUUUUUAAUUUAUUCAAUUCGAUUUGAUUUUAAACCGAACCGACAGAAUGCUGACGCCUAAAUGCAACCAUUCUCUUUAAUGUGCACCGUAAAUUGGUCAUCAAGCUAGCUUAUACAGUACAAAUCACGCAUAAGUUGCUUACAGCAGCAUAUACUGUCCGGUUCAGAUUUCCUUUCUUUAACUUGAAUCGAAAUUGUGAUUUGAAUCCGCUGUUUUGAAUUGAAAUUGAUUUAAUUUUCUAUUUACACUAAAAAUUAAAUAAAUGAUAUUUUAUAAUAAUAUAAAUUAUUAUAUUAUGUAAUUUUAAAUAUUUAAAAAUUGAUAUCAAAUUAAUAUUAUAAUCGAACUAAAAUAAUUUUGAAUGAAAAUUAUUUUGAAACUGAAAAAUUUUUGAACUAAAUUGAUAUAAGCCACAACCUCUGGUUUUAAUUUGAAAUGGGGAAAUUUUCAAUUCUAUAUGGUUUAUAGUGUAAAAUUAUAAUGAGAUUGGUAUAAAAGAAAAAAAAAUAAAUGAAUGUUUUGUGACUUCAUUAAUUUUUUAUUUUAGAAUUUAUAAUUAAAUUUAAAAAUAAAUUUUCUAUUUAUUUGUUAUUUUAAUGCUAAAUUAAAUUUAAAUCAGUCUUAAUUUAUCUGAAAAAUUAAUAAAAAAAAUAUUUAAUUAUUACAGGCUCGUAUUUUAAUAUUUUAUUAAAAUCGUAUGGCAUUUAAUUUAAACACUUUCGAAUCAAGUCAAUCUUAAAAAUCACUCGAUAUUGUGUGAAUAUAAAUUUUUUAAUUUAUUAAAAUUAUAUAAACAAAUAAUGAAAUUAAUUAAAAGUAUUUAAUCAAAAGUCUCCAUUAAACAUAAAAGAUAAAAUUAAACAUGAAAAUUUAUGAAUAAAUUAUUUAUUUUAUUUUAAACAUCGUUACAAUAAUUUUUAAUUCUAUUAUAGACAAAAGGGACCGUUUCUAAAUAAGGAAGGUACAACUCAAAAUUAACUUUUAUAAGAAUCACGAUUGUCCAAUUUCAAAUCAAUUAGGAAUUCAAUAACAUAUGGAUGCAGUUUAAACAAACUGGACCGAACCAGAUAGUUCCAUCAUAAGUUAAUUAUAAGGUAAGCGUAUAUACGUAUGACACGUAGAGCGAUAGGGGAAUGCAAACGUGGUUGGUUCUCAACGGCAAGAUCUACCGAGCUGCUAAUUGCUAACAUGCGCCUCCUCCCCAUCAAAAUCAUGUCACUGCUGGGCAAUCAAGCAUUCAAUUCUUGCCAACUUCUUGGACAGUGAAGCCACCCCUUAUUCAUUUAUGAAUAUUCAUAUCCUCUCCAUAUUUUGAUUUGUAUUAUUAUUAUUAAAAAUUUAUGAAUGGAAGGGAAAAUGGAGAAGUAGUAUCCAAUACUCAUUUUCUCUUGGAUUGCCAAACAACCAAAACUAUGAAAAAUAUUUUUUGAAUAUUUGUUUCUUCAUGGAAUUUAUAAUCACCUAACUUAAUCUAAGAAAUGAUAAUUACUAGCCGUUAAAAUAAUUAUUUGAAAACGUAAUUGUGCUAUAUAAAAUAUAUUACAAGCUUCAAGAAAUACAAUAGGGAUAAAAAUGUAAUUGUGCUAUAUAAAGUAACUUUCCGUUUCAUUUUGUUUAUUUUCUUCCCGUUUUGGUUAGAAUAAACAGGAGGGAUAAUUUAAUUACUCAUAUUUUCUUUCCUCUGGAAUUUCACUCGUAUCCAAACAGGGAAGUAGCUUUCCUCCGUUAUUUUCCAUAAUUAUUUAACUGACUGAAAUUAUUUAAGUAACGCCUCCAAAUAUAUAUUUAAUUUUAUUAUUUUAAUAUUUAUUUUCAAAUAUUUAAAAAUAAAAUAUAUUAAAAAUUUUAUAUGGAGACGAUAAAAAUAAUUUAAUAUUUUAUUUAAUUAGAAAAAAACAUUUCAUUGACUGAUUUUUUAUGAAUAUUCAAACACUAAUAAAUAUAAAAAAAAUAUUUUUUAAAAAAUAAACAAUUUAAUUUUAAUAUUUGUUAUAAUGAUACUAAUUGUUAUAAAAUCUAUAAUUGCCUCAAAGAUUAAGAAUAUAAGAGCAGGCUCUUUUUAUAGCCAGAUGAAUGUAAAGUGUGCUGAAAUUAUAGCAUUACGGGAAGUAUUGAGCUGGAUUAAAGAGUGUGGAUGGGAUCGAGUUCUUUUCGAAUUGGAUGCUCAGGUACUUGUGAUGUCAGUUAAUUAUGUUUUGUUAGAUGAUUUAUCGUCUUUUGGCCUUUUGGUUCAAGAUUGUAAACUGCUUCUAUCUAGUUAUGAGGAAGCAAAGUGUGUUUUUGUUCAUAGAUCUGCGAAUGAUAUCGCUCAUGUUCUAGCAAUAUCCGCUCAUAUUCUAGCAAUAUCGGCUCAUUCUGAGUCAGAUCAAGGAGUUUGGAUUGAUAUACCUCCUCCUCACAUUAUUUCUUUGUAUGAAGUUUUCUUGUUAUUUAAAAAAAAAAAAGAAUAUAAAAAAAACACCUAAUAAAUUAGCCCAACCCUAAUAACUUGAAUGUAAAUUAAUUAAAUUUAAUUUAAUCUAGUUUAACUAAUUUCUUUAAUUUAACUUCAAAUAUUAUUCUAAUUUAUUUCUGAUUUUGAUGAGAUUUUUUUAAUUAAUUAAAUUAGGAAUUUAAAUUAUUAAAAUAAUUAGAUAUUAAAGCCCAACAUAAAAUAAAAUUGCAAACCCAAACAAUAAUCUCGUUAGGGUAGACAGACGGUUUUUUGCAAAAUAUAGUGAAAAAACAUAAUAUAUUUCUUAAAUUUUAAUUUGCGAAAAAAUAUUUUUCAAGAAAUUUACCGCAUUUUAUAAGUGCGGUAAACUAUUCCGCACUUAUAAAAUGCGGUAUAGAGACAUUGAACUAAAAUUAAAAUUUUUUUAAAUAAAAAAAUUUUACCGCACUUUAAAAUUGCGGUAGAAUUGUAUUUAAAUUUAUUUUAAAAAAUUAAAAUUCUACUAGAAUGUAUCAAUUUCUCAAUUUAUGUAUUACCGCACUUUUAAAAUACAGUAAUACGUAGAGUUUAUUUAAUUUGUUUAAUAUAUAUUAUAUUAGUUUUAUUUAUUUAUAUAUAUAUAAAAUUUAUAGAUAAUUAUAAAAAAUAUAUUAAUUAUUUAAUAUAAUUAAAAUUUAAUAUAAUAAUAAUUAUAUAUAAAUUUAUUUUAAUAAUUAAAUUUAUAUAUAUAACAUUAUAAUUAUAUUUAUUUAAAUAUAAUAUCAUGAUUAUAUUUAUUUUAAAAAUAAUAUCAUAUAUUUUAUAUUUAUUUAUAGAAUUUAUUAUUUUUAUUAGAAUUAUAUUUUAUAUUUAUUUAUUAAAAUUAUAUUUGUACAGUAAACAUCGGAUAGCAGUACUCCACUUUUGCAUCUGAUAAUAUCUAUUUACCAUCGCAUUAUACUACAACACAAGAUUUGAGUUUGGUGGCUCCUGAUCUUAAUAUUAAUUAUGCUACUGCUGAAUGUCAGAAUACAAGUAGUGAUCGCCGGCCAUAUAGAACUCGACAUCUACAUGAACAAAGAGGACGUCAAUGUGGCACUGGAGCACAUUUAGAAUGUCAUUAGCAUUAUUUUUUUAUUUUAUCAUUUGUAAUUAUAUUGUUUUUAUUUUUAUCACAUUCCACAAUUUUAAUUAUUUAUAUGUAUUUUUUUAAAUUUUUAUAAUUUUUAAAUAUUUUAUUUAUUUAUUUAUAAAUAUAAUUCUAAUAAAAAUAAUAAAUUCUAUAAAUAAAUAUAAAAUAUAUGAUAUUAUUUUUAAAAUAAAUAUAAUUAUGAUAUUAUAUUUAAAUAAAUAUAAUUAUAAUGUUAUAUAUAUAUAAUUUUAAUUAUUAAAAUAAAUUUAUAUACGAUCAUUAUUAUAUUAAAUUUUAAUUAUAUUAAAUAAUUAAUAUUAAUAUAAUUUUUAUAAUUAUCUAUAAAUUUUAUAUAUAAAUAAAUAAAUAAAAUUAAUAUAAUAUAUAUUAAACAAAUUAAACAAACUCUACGUGUUAUCGCACGUUUUAAAGUGCGGUAAUACGUAAAUUGAGAAAUUGAUACAUUCUACCGCACGGGAUAGAAUUUUAAUAUUUUAAAAUAAAUUUAAAUAUAAUUUUACUGCACUUGUAAAGUGCGGUAGAAUUUUUUUUAUUUAAAAAAAUUUUAAUUUUGAUUCAACGGCUUUUUACCGUAUUUUAUAAGUGCGGAAGAGCCUAUCGCACUUAUAAAGUACGGUAGAACUCUGAUUCAUCCUGAUCUAAGAAAUAUUUUUUUGCAAAUCAGGAUUUAAAAAAUAUAUUAUUUUUUUCACUUUAUUUUGUAAAAAGCCCGUCGAAAGAGAAGAAGUCCAAAAGCCCAAGAAACUGAGAGGUCUAAAGCCCAAUAGACACGUACAAUUUUGUUGAGUAAAAUUUUCAACUAAAUUUGAUAAAAAUCACAAUAAUUUUUUCAAUUAAAUAUUUUUUUAAGAAAAAAUUGUUAUAAAAUAAUAUUUUUAUUCGAUUUUUUGGUUAAUAAAUUUAAAAAUCAUUUAAUAAUUGAACUAAUCAAUAUAAUUUAAUUUUUAUUAAUUAAUAUAUUUUGAUUAUAGUUUGUUCAUAAAAUAUUAUCUGUAAAUUUGAUAUUUAAUACUAUUAAUAAAACUCUAGAAAUAAUAAUUAUAUAUUAUAUUUAUAAUUUUUGUAAAUAAAAAUUGUUUUAUUAACAUAUUUAAUUUAUUAUUAAAAUAAUAUUUUUAUUAUUUCAGUUAAUUAAUUUAGUUAUAAAUGUUAUUAAAAAAUUAAUUUAAUUGUCAUUUUCUAGAAUAGUCAUAAAUGUUAGAAGGCAUUAUUCUUCAAUAAGCAAUAAAUUGGAAGAGUUAAGAAGCAACCGAAAAAUUAGAAAAGAUAGAUAUUUUCAUUCUUUCAACUUAAUUUAUUUUUAUUUAUUUAUUUAAAUUAUUUUUUUUAACUUAAACACAAUCUUUUAAAAUAAAUAAUUUCAAGCUAAAUUUCUUCAUUUAAAUAUAUAAUUAGGAAGUUCAAUUUAUUUUUUUUAAUAUUAAAUUUAUUUUUCAAAAAUAAAUUAAAUAUUUUUAAUAAUUAUGAGGGUGGCAUUAAAUAUUUAAUCUAUAUAUAUAUAUAUAUAUAUAUAUAUAUAAGAUUUUUCAUGACAAAUAUCUCAUUUGCCUAUUUCUAAAAAUAGCAUUAGCAUUAAAACAACUUUCCAUAUUGAUUAUAAAACCCCUUUUGAGCGGGCACUGAUUUGUUAAAUUUCAUUUCAUAUAUUAUUUAUAUUUUAAUAUUUACAUUUUAUUUAUAUUUUAAAAUCCAGAAAAAACAUAGCGUUUUUCUAUAUAUGAAGAAGAUUAAUCUAAAGGGUCACGCUCCCCUCUUUUAUUUCUUUUUAUUGACGCAUAAUCGCUACUCUAUUAUAGUGUCAUCUAUUACAGUAUGUACUGACGUAUCUACAUGCUCACCAUCGACAGGCGGCCAUUUAAUUUUUUUUUUACGCUCGCACUAAUAAGAUCACAUCAUAACUGAACUUGCUCUCUUACUUUCUGUCAUGUUAAAUAAACUAAACUCCUUUCUAAUGAGAUUGGCUCUUCGAUCUGCUUCAACCGCGAGUUGAGCAAUAUGCUAAUAAGUCAGCUUGUAUAGUGAAUUCUAAUGGAUUUUGGAUUUAACUUUUCUAACAAGAUCUCAGUCUUAAUGUCGGUGACCUAACUCUGAUAAACUUUAAACAAUUAUAUAUGUAUAAAUUUUGAACAAAUAUUAAAUUACCAAAAAAUAAAAAAUAAAUUUAAUUUAGUAAAUAUUUUAAAAACUAUUUAAUAAGAAUUUCACUAAUAUUUAAAUUUUCAUUUUGAUAUUAUAAAUAGAUAUUUUACCAUUACAUUCUCUCUCUAUCUCUCUAUAUAUGCAAAAUUAAAAGGGGAAACAAAAUUAAAUGGGGUUCAACCAAUCUUGCCAUGAUGUGUGUGACAAGUAGAAGUUUAACAAAUUCUUGAAUAUAUGCUCACAAGUUGUGUGAGAACAUAUCCCAUUACCCAUUAAUAUUAAAAAAAUAUAUAUUAUUAUUAUUAUUAAUAUUUGAGAGUGGAAUGUGUAUAUCUAUAAAUUAAAAAAAAAAAAAAAAAAACCUCUCAUUACAUUAGCAUUCAUUUUUGUCAAACUUUGUUCAUGCUUUGACAGCCUGUCUUCCUCCUCAACCUCUCAAGUGAGUUUGUGGCCAUUCAAACUUUGUGACUCUUCUGCUUUCAUCCAUUUACUCACAUGACUUCCACACUCCAAAAUUUCAACAUUCUUACCUAAUCUAUCCCACAUUGAUUAAUCCUUACAUGUGCAUGAUCUUCUUUUUAUUAUUAAAAAACAAUUUUACAACUGCUCUGUCUAAACCUUAAAUGUUUUUUUUUAAAUAAAAUUUAGUCGCAAUAUUAAUUAAUUAAUUAAUUAAUUAAUUAAUAACCGUUAUUCAAAAUUCAAUGUAACAAUAAAUCCUUUUUAUAAUUACUUAUUACAGCUAUUAUUUUAAUAAAUUAAAAUAAAUGAAAUUAUAAGAUAUUUUUUUAUUUUUCCCUUAUUUAUAUUUGAAUUAAGUGGAGAAUCAUCAAGUAAAAGAAACCUCAUGAUUCCUCUCGUGGGAUUUUAACCUCUCUCUUUCUAAUAAUCUCAAUUUUGGCCGACUUUCUUGGCCAAGUCAAACAUAAAGGCAUAAACUAAAGCAGGCUUUUCUUUAAAUAGUAACUAAUAAAUUUUUUAAAAUAUUAAAAAUAUUUUAAUAUAUUUUUUAAAAUUAAAAAAUUAAUUUAUAAAUAUUUUUAUACUAUAAAAAUUACAUAGUAACUUUUCUUAAAUGUAACGAGCUUGCAGCUUGAUCUACUCUAAACCACUUUGCUUUAUAAAAAAUAUUUGACAGAUUUGUGUGCUAAUUUUAGAAAAGUACUAAAAUAGCAGUCUCAAAAAUUAUGAUAUUUUCAAUUUAAUUUUGAGCUGAAAUAAUAUAUAUGAAAAAUAUUAAUUUAGAAAAAAAGUGGGGAAUCUGUAAUGAGGUUGGUUUGUGUCCAUCAAAACCCACUUGGUGCUAAGGGUUAGUGGAAAAGCUUUUGAUUUUGUAGCCAAAAUGGAGCAAUAAGUGAACCCAUGGUCCAGUGUAGCCAUUAAUUGGGGAGCAGCCAUCGUCUAUAUUCUCAAUCAUGAUAAUGACUUUUUUUACCAAUCAAAAUCGUUCAUUUUUCUUUUUUUAAAGUUAAAUAAUUUAUUAUAUUAAUAAAAUUAUAUUAAAUAAAAAUAUAUAUCAUUCCAAACACAAAAAUCAAUUAAAAUAUGUGUUAGAAUAGUAUUACAAUAAAUCCAUCUAAUAGGAAUAUCAGUUCUAAAGUUUAAUAAAAAUUUAUAAUAAUUCAAAAUUAAAUCUCUGUAUAAGAUAAUUUGAUAAAAAUACUUUCUAAGUAUUUGUCUAAAUUCUGUAUAAGAUAAUUUGACAAAAAUACUCCUCCUUCUUUAACAUCUUUCGAAUAUAAAUUAUUAAAAUCUGUCAAAUAAAAUUACGAAAUAAAAUUACGAAAUAAAAUUUCUACAAAAUAAAGCUAAUCAUUUAUUUAUUAUUUAAUUAUAAUAAAAUAAUAAAAAAAUAAUUAAAAUCCUAUUUAAUUAGAGUCGUGUAUUUUUUUGAUAAACAGAUAUUAUUUCUUUUAAAAUUGAUUUCAAUAAAUAAAUUUUAAAAUUUAAUAUAAUGUUAAUAAAAAUAAACCAUUAAAUGAGAAAACAUAAGGUUAGAGUAAUGUAAUAAAUGAUUGUUUGUGGCUUAGUUAAAAGCAAGCUUCAAAGGAUAAAAUUUCGUAUAACAAGAGGGUAUAAUUAUAUAUAUGAAAAAUAUUCUAUUAGAUUUUGAUGGCCAACCUAAAAAGCUAAGAUCCAAAAAAGAAAUACAAAUAUAUCACUCCAACUUCCAUAAUGGAUGACAAUUAGAUAUUUUUUUUAUGUGGUCAAAAAGCUGUCAUUUUAUAAAAGAUAAAAAAAAGAGUGAUCGGUGUUUACAGUACCGUGUUUUCAAAUUAAAAAAAUCAAUUGAAUCGUAUAAAUUUAAAAAUUUAAUUUAAGUUUUUAUUUAUUUCAAUUCGAUUUGAUUUUUAAUUUAAAAAUUUUUUAUUAUUUCAGUUUGGUUUGGUUUUAAUAAAAAAAAUGAAAAAAUUAAAUCGAACCGAAUUAUGAUAAUAAUAUAUUAUUUUUAAUAAUAUAGAGAAAUUAGAUCAUAUUAAAAUUAAAAUAUUUUAAUUAAAUUUUAAAAUACUAAAAAUAGAGUGUAAAAAAUAAAAAAUUUAUUAAAAAUUGAAAUCGAUUAAAUCGAAUUGAAUCGAACUGAAUCAGACCGAUUCAAUUCGAUUCGAUUUCUAACCAAAAUCGAUUUUGUUUGAUUUUCAUAAAUACUAAAAUUUCAAUUUUUGAUUUAUUCGAUUCGAUUCGAUUUUAAACUAAAUCGACCGAAUGCUCACUCGUGAUCUAUGGACAAUUAUUUCGAUAUUCAAAUUAGUAAGUUGUUAAAAAAGGCGAGUGUAAUUAAUUUAUUUGAAUUUAUUAAAAGUGUAUAAAAAUACGUAUUUUAAAUUUUAUAUAUAUAUUAUUUUUAUAUUAUAAAAAAAUAAAAUUAAUGAUUUUUUUAAAAUUCAACUAAUACCAAUUAGUGUAUAAAAAAUCUUAUAAUUAUAGACGUAAUGAAAAUUUAUUAUAUAAUAUCUUUUACCGAUAAUUCAGACGUCAUGAAAUGCGUAAAUCUAAAAGGGCAAUACCAUAUUAUCAAAAAAAUGUAUAUAAAUUUUUGUAUAAUUGAGUGAUUGAGACUUUUAUAAGUGAAUUGAAUUUAUGGAACGGUUGAGAAAGGGAUGUAUGAGGUAAGAAUAGAAGUUUGGAAGACAACUUGUAAAAUCUUUGAUGUAAAAAAGAGAAAAUGAAAUCUUUACUUUCUGAUGAGAAGCACUUUGGCAUUACUAUCAUUAUCAUGUCCACUAGUUGAUUAUCUCUUAUCAUCCAAAAAUAAAAAGAAAUAAAAUAUAAUUACAUUAUUUUAAUAAUAAUUACUAGUAAAUAAUUAGUCUCCUUUUAUUUUAUAUAAAUAUUCUUUUAGCUAAAAGAAAAAUCAAAUCAUUUUUAAAAAAUAUAUUUUUAAAAAAGUUAAGUAAUUUUCUAAAUUACUAUUAUAUAUAAAUUUAUUGAUAUUUUAUUUAUUUUUAGGAUUAUAAUCAAAUAACAAAAAAUAAAUUAUACUAUUGUAAAAUAUAUAUUUUUUUUAAAAUUCUUUAAAUGUAAGUUAUUUUUCUUAAAUAAAUAGAUAUUUAAAAUAUACAUAAAUCCUAUAAUCUAAAAUUUUUAAUAAUAUUUUCUAUUAUUUACUAUUUCUUUUUUUUACUAAAUUUAAAGGUGCAAAUGGGAUAAGCUUGCCAUCAUUUUCAUGUUUCAAGUUGCCCACCAUCACUUGGAGUGUUGUGGUUUGCAGUUGUUGGGUUUUAUUAAUAUUAUUUUAUAACACUUUUUUAUUGGAAGGAAAAUAUUUUUUUUUUAGAAAAUAAAAUUAGUAAAUGUAAACACUAAAUAAUAAUUUAUAUAUAUAUAAUAAUAUUGUAUGCAAUAUAAUAUUAUGAGAUCUAGAGAAAAUAUGGUUUUUAAUAGUUUAGUAAAAUUCUCUCUUUAGAGGAGGACAUCACUUUUUCUUUUAUUCUUCCUCCUUGCUUGCUAGCGAUACCUAAUGACAUUUCUGCUAUAAUGACACCUAUCUCUGUCAGACAGGUCUGUACGUUUAUCUAUGUAGGAUUGCAAAAGGACUGAACUUACUGUUUCUCUUCAUGUCCAUCUCUGGACUGACUACUGGAUUUGGACUCGCGGUCGACCCGGUCCACCGUACGUUUCAAGUCCAAAUUUGAGUUGUUGAGUAGGCCUGCCUAGGGGCUGUCCCGAGCUCCAGAUCUGUUCUGCUUUUGUGGAUCCCGACUUAGUCUAAGGGAGAAUGAGGUCCGACGGUUAUCAAAAGAAAAAGUGUAGCUAGUUGAAUCCAACCUACUCUAUCCUUGCAAGAAACAAAGAAGAUGCAUAUCCCAAAUAAGAUUAAUGAGAUUACAGUAAUUAUAUUAAAAAAAAUUAGAGAAAAGUGGUUGGUUUUGGGAAUUAGUAAAAAAAACCCAUAUGGGAAAAAAUAUAAAUUAUUAAUUAAACAUGGAUUUUGACUAAUCACAAUCCACAAAGUAUACUUAGAAGGAAUACAAUCAAUGCAGUAUUCUAAGCAGCCAUAUGUAAGCAUGUAGGCAAAAUGACUUUCAUGAGGGACCAAUCUUACCUUGGAGACAAUCCCAUUUGACUAAUUGAUGAUAUAAAGUUUCUUGAAAUUUAUUAUUUAAUUAAUUUGCAUUAAAUUAAUUUUUUUCCAUUUAAAACUUUAAAUUGUGUUUGUUGAUGAGACUUGUCUCCCUCCACAUUCUCUUAAUCUACUCCACCUCAAAAUAUAUAUAAUUUUUUAAAAAAUAUAAUUAAUAUCAUUAAAAUAAUAAAUUGUAGUAAUUAAUUUCUAUAUUAUUACAGUUUAAAAAAGAAAAUGAAUAAUAAUUUUAAAAUAAUUAAAAAAAUAGAUAAAAAUUAUAAAAUUAUAUUAUAUUAUUAUAUAUAAAUUAUCAUCAUAGGUGUGAGUAUUUUGUAUACAUUGACUAAAUUUAGUUAUCCAAAUUUUUACAAUGGAGUUUUCUUAUAAAUAGUGUAUGGAAGAUAAUGACUUAUAACAAAAAGACAAUAAUAUGAAUUAGCAAAAUUAAAUUCCAGAGAUUCUUAAAGGUCAAAGCUAAAAGAAAUAUAUAUUUUUUUUAUAAAAAUGGAUAUUUAAAAUUGAUAAAAAAUUAUUUUAAUAUAAUAAAAUUAAUUUAAAAUACAUAUAAUUAUAAUGGAAAUUUAUAAUUUAAUUUCUAAAUAUUGUAAUUAUUAAUAAAUUAGUUCUUACAUGUUCAGAAAUCUAUUAAAACGUUCUUAUUUUUUUUCUCCGUUAAUAAAAUAGUUAUUCCGUCUAUUUUUACCAUUAAAAAUAUAGCAAAAUACUAAAUACCCUCCUCUUCUCCUCCUCAUUCUCCUUCUUUUUCGAUUAUUCCUCUUCUUCUUCGAUUAAUUUUUUAUUUUUUUCUUUUUUUUAAAAUUUAAGUGGACCGGUUAAUCACUAAAUGCAACCAACUCCAUUAAUUCAUCCAAGCAAAUUUCCAUGUUAGUUGAGCCGCUCAGGCAAGCAAAAGGAUAAUAUAAGGGGGUGAAUUAUAUAUAAAAAAUAAUUUAAUUUAAAUUUAAUUUAUUUUUAAAAAUAAUAUCAGUUGGUACAACUAAUUUUAAAUUUUAUCGUAGAUUUGAAUCGUAUUUAAUUUUUAUUAUCGACAUUUGAUAAAAAUUUAUGAUAAUUUUUCAAAAAAAUAAUUUUAAGACUCACAAUAUUUAAAAAGUAUGACGAGAGUUAUAAGUUCAUUACAAAAUUUAAUAUUAAAAUUUCAUCUGUUAGGGAUUAAUUUUACAUUUUAAUUAUUUUUUAAAUAUUUUUAUAAUUUUAUGUAUUAAUUUUUUUUUAUUAUAAAUAAUAUUUUUUGAUUAUUAGACGUAUUUUUUAAUUUUUAAAUAAUUUUAAUAAAAUUUUUUAACUUUUAAUCUAUUUUUUUAUAUCAUCUUAAUUAAAUAAUAUUAAUUAAAAUUUUUGACAAAAUAUAAUUAUUUAUUUAUCAAAAUAUAAUUAAAAAUAGUAAAGUAUAGAGUUAUUAAAAACAAUACUAAUAUUUUUAAUUUUUAAAAAUAAUUGAAUCAAAUUAUAGUUUAUGAUAAUUUUCAAAUUUUUUUUUAUAAUUAACCCAUUAUUAUGUGUGAUAUUUAAAUAUAAGUUGCAAUUUUGUAAUUUAUAUAUUAUUAAAAAAUAAUAGGCAUUAUUAUUGGAAUUUUUGACAUCCUCAAUGUCAAUGAGAUGUAAUGAGAUGUGCUAUUGUGUUGUAUUCCUAUUGACUCAGAAAAUUCAGAAAAGCAGUUGGCUUUUUCCAUGCAAUUAGUGGAGUGCAAGCAUAUAUCACCAAAAGGAUGGUCAAAUUUUUACUUAUUUAAUAAUAAUAAUAAUAAUAAUUAUUUAAAAAGUAGUUUUUAUUAUAAAAUAAUUAAAUUAAAAAUAAAUAAAGUAAAAUCUUAAUUUAAAAUAUUUUAUCUCUUAAUAUGUAUAUAUCAUACUAACUUGUUAUAAUUAUUUAUAUAUAUUUAUAAUGAAUUUUAGUUAUAACUCAUUAAAAUGUAUCAAUAAUAUAUAAAUUUAAAAUAAAAAUUUUAAUUUAAUAAUUAAUAUAAAUAUCAAAACAAAAAUUAAAUAAUCAUCUUACGAUUGUGAGAUGGGAGAGGACAUUUGAAUUUUGAUUUUUUUUUAAAUUUAUUUUUAGAUUAAUUAAAGAAAAUUAUGAUUAAUUUGACGUUUCUGAUAAUUAAAUUUUCAACUUUCUCUUGAGUGCCGUCUACUAAAUUGCAACUGUAUCCAUUAAUCAAAUCUUAUCUUAGCAGUGUUGAGAUCAUCUUCAAAUAUCAAUCAAUUUUAUAAAAAAAAAAAAAUUAAAAUUAUCCCAAAAACUAUAAAAUCUAGAAUUUACGUCCCAAUCAAAAUUAAUUUUAUAAAAGAAAAAAUUGCAACCAUCUCCUUCUUAGAUUUCAAAUAAUGCUACAAUUUCAAUUUUCCAGUUGUAUGUGUACACACAUAUAUCAAAUAAAUUAUUUAUUAUGAAAAUUUCAUAAUUUAUUUUUUUAAUAAAAUCAUAAUUUCUUAUUUCAUAAUAAACGUUCUUGAAACGAAAUUAAUUAAUAAUAUUUUUAAAAUUUCUAAGGAUGUUUAAUCUAAGCCAUCAAUUAUUAAUAAAUUUUCAGUUUUAAAUAAUAAAAUUAAAAUUUAAUAGAAAUAAAUCAAUAGGUUUUUUAAAAUAUUAGAAAUGUUUUUUAAAAUUAAAUGAUUAAUUAAUAAAUUUAUAAAAUAAUAAUUUUUCUAAAAAUAAAUAAACAAAUGGAGAUAAUAGAGCCAAAAAGAAAGGGCAAAAAACAAAACUUGGAAUAUAUUAUAAAAAAAUCACAUUAUUCAAAGCUAUUUCUGUAAUUCCUUCAAUAGAUAAAAAGAAUAAAAGGAGAAAUUUAUAUAAUAUUAAUAUUAAUUUUGGUCUUCCAUGCACAUCUCCUAAAAAAGGCUGCUCUAUCCUCUGACCACCACAACCCAUCUCCUCCCUCAAACCCAAAAGGUCAAAAAUAACCCACUUCCUCUUCUCUCUCUAAUCUCUAAUCUCUAUCUCAAAAUCUCUUUCAUGGUCAUCUCCCAUAACCUCACUUCUAUUGUAAAGCACUCUUCUUUCUCCUUGCAAGCAAUACCCAUCUUCUCUUUCCCAAACCUAUUAAACAAAGAGGAAAAAACCAAUGUUUAAUGUCCAUUUCAUUUCUUUAACCUUGUCUCUGUGGAUAUGCAGAGUUUAAGUAGGUGAGAGAGAUUUAAAGGAGGAUUCUUUAUUUGGGUUUGUUUCUAUUGAGGAUGAUAGAUCUGAAAGAAAUGGGAAGCAAAUGGAGGAAAGCUAAACUGGCACUUGGCCUCAAUAUGUGUCUUUCUGUUCCUCAUAAUCUUGAGCAAGAUUCCUCGCCGUCUCCUUCCAGAUUCUCUGAUGCCGUUUCACUCUCUCCUGCCGGUUCUCUUUCCCGUGGCUCCACUACUCCCACGCCGUCCUCUUCUGGCCUCCGCUUGUCCAAAUCCGGGACCAAAUCCUCUAAGGUAUACACAACCGUAUUCAUGAUAUUUAGGUUCCUUUGAGUUUAUGGUUCUUGUUAGUUUUUUUUUUUUUUUUUAAAAAAUA